rfam:Ascaris suum AG00310, whole genome shotgun sequence.
AGGUGGUGAGAAGAUGAAUGUUCGCAGAGGCGCACCGGUCCGAAGUGACCGCAACAUGAGCUGUGAGCGAAAGUCCCUGGACCUUAGGCCGAAAGGGUCUGGCCCAUAGGAGGGUUGUUGCGGACAAGCGAAGAUCAAGCCAUGACAAGCAGCUGAUCCGAGCCUAGAGCCGCUGUUCGUUACAGCAAAGUGACCUUCAUAUAACAGCAUAGGGCUUACUCUCUCAACACC